rnacentral:lncRNA from 1 species
GGCCAUACCAAAUCUUUGUUCAAUGAUGUUGGGCCCCCAUAUUAUAUUAUCCAUACUAUAUUUAACGAGUCUUGGGCGUGUAGGAGAGUGUUAAGUACCCCACAUAGAAAAAGGGAUGGGUAAUAGUUAACGAGGCCUGGGCAUGCGGGGUGGCCCAUCUCAAAUCUUUGUUCACCGAAGUUAGACCCCCAUAUUAUAUUGUCCACGCUCUAGUUAACGAGGUCUGGGCGUACGGGGUGGCCCAUCCCAAAUCUUUGUUCACGAAUGUUGGGCCCCCA